rnacentral:rRNA from 1 species
AUGUCGUUCGCCGGCGUAUCCGUCAUUGCUGGCAGUGGCGGCAGGCUGCCGCGGCUGUCGGCGGAAUCGGACAUGAUCUACUCCGGCUCCAGCGCAGCCAGCAGAGGCAGCUGCUACUAUCACCUGCUUGUGGUGGAAGGUUACUCCCGCAUCAAAGACCUGCCCAAUGGAGGGACAAUCAUGGGUCGCACAUUCAAAGCUGGAGGCUAUCAAUGGGUUCUGAGGUUCCAUCCCAAUGGUUAUGCCCCGGAGGAUGUCGGUUCCAUCUCGGUUUAUCUUGUGCUUGACCAGGAUGUUGCACGGCCCGUGAAGGUGCAUCUCCAGUUUAGUUUGGUUGAUGAGGUUAGCAAGCAAGAUCAAGCAUUCAUCCGUGCAAUCAAAGCGUGCGACUUCUCUGGCAGUGGCUCUACUUGGGGCCGCAGUUGUUUCAUAAAAGGAGAGGACCUUGAGAAGUCAGAUCAUCUCAAGGAUGAUUGUUUCACCAUCCGGUGUGAUUUCAUCAUCGCCGAAGCUGCUGCUGCUGCUCCCUUGGUAAAGGUGCCGUCAUCUAACAUAAGCGAGCAUCUGAGCCAUCUCUUAGUGACGGAGGUGGGCGCCGAUGUGACGUUCGAGGUCGGCCAUGAGAUGUUCGCCGCCCACCGGUGUGUGCUCGCGUCCCGUUCCGCCGUAUUCAUGGCACAGCUCUUUGGCCCCAUGAAGGAGGGGACCACGGCGGCCGCCAUACAAAUACAAGACAUGGAACCGGACAUCUUCAAGGCACUGCUUGGUUUCAUCUACACUGACUUGAUGCCAGAGAUGGAGGCGGAAAGAGAAGCAGAAGUAGAAGAAGGUGGAGCUGAUGAGGUUACGUGGCUGCGCCACUUGCUUGCCGCGGCGGAUAGGUUUGAUCUCCAGAGGCUCAAGUCGAUGUGUGAAGAGAGGUUGUUGGAGCACAUAGAUUUGAGCUCGGUGUCGGCCAUCCUUGCUGUGGCAGCGCAGCUCCAAUGCUGUGGACUUAAGGAGGCGUGCCUGGAGUUCCUCAAGGUUCAGUCAGCUGCAGACUUGGGACAAGUAAUGGCGACCAGUGACUGGGAGCACAUAGGUGCAACCGAUCACUCCGUUCUGAACCAGCUCAUUGCCAAGCUUGCUUCCAAAGUUUAG